rnacentral:rRNA from 1 species
AAUCAACGCUGGCGGCGUGCCUCAGACAUGCAAGUCGAACGCGAAAGUCCCCUUCGGGGGACAAGUAGAGUGGCGCACGGGUGAGUAACACGUAGGUAAUCUACCUUCGGAUGGGGAAUAACAACCGGAAACGGUUGCUAAUACCGCAUAAUGCAGCGGCACCUAAUGGUGACAGUUGUUAAAGCGGAGGAUCGAAAGACCCCGCGUCUGAAGAGGAGCCUGCGGCGGAUUAGCUAGNGGUAAGGUAAUGGCUUACCAAGGCGACGAUCCGUAGCCGGCCUGAGAGGGCGGUCGGCCACACUGACACUGACAUACGGGUCAGACUCCUACGGGAGGCAGCAGUCGGGAAUUUUGGGCAAUGGGCGAAAGCCUGACCCAGC